rfam:Tncultured Thiohalocapsa sp. PB-PSB1 scaffold_127, whole genome shotgun sequence.
AAAGUCCCGGUCGGGUAAGGGCUAGCCAUCCGCCCAUAUCGAGUGUUAGUCCUGCUGCGGAGCUUUGUGCCCUGCGAAAAAAAUUUGCCGGGCAAGCGUACAUAGAGAAUCCUGUAGGCCGCAGGGUAGAUCGCGCUCCCUGAAGUGCGCCUGUUCGGAUCAGGGCAGCUUCGAGAAACGUAACCCGCGGAUGGCGACAGUGUUGACGAGCUGGAAGCCCACAUGAAGCGCGCGUUUUGGUCAGCGCGUGGAUGUCCGCCAGAGUCUCGGAUGU